GAUGAACGCUAGCGACAGGCUUAACACAUGCAAGUCGAGGGGCAGCAUGAUUUGUAGCAAUACAGAUUGAUGGCGACCGGCGCACGGGUGAGUAACGCGUAUGCAACUUACCUAUCAGAGGGGGAUAGCCCGGCGAAAGUCGGAUUAAUACCCCAUAAAACAGGGGUCCCGCAUGGGAAUAUUUGUUAAAGAUUCAUCGCUGAUAGAUAGGCAUGCGUUCCAUUAGGCAGUUGGCGGGGUAACGGCCCACCAAACCGACGAUGGAUAGGGGUUCUGAGAGGAAGGUCCCCCACAUUGGUACUGAGACACGGGACCAAACUCCUACGGGAGGCAGCAGUGAGGAAUAUUGGUCAAUGGCCGAGAGGCUGAACCAGCCAAGUCGCGUGAAGGAAGAAGGAUCUAUGGUUUGUAAACUUCUUUUAUAGGGGAAUAAAGUGGAGGACGUGUCCUUUUUGAUGUACCCUAUGAAUAAGCAUCGGCUAACUCCGUGCCAGCAGCCGCGG
rnacentral:rRNA from 1 species